ensembl:snRNA U2 U2 spliceosomal RNA
AAAACUUCAUAACAAGUAAAACAGCAAAAAAAAUCAAGUGUAGAAUCUGUUCUUAUCAGUUUAAUAUCUGAUACAUCCUCUGUCUGAGGACAAUAUAUUAAAUGGAGUUUUGGAGCUGGGAGAUGGAAUCGGAGCUUGCUCCAUCCACUGCACACACCAACCUGGUAUUGCAUUACCUCCAGGAACAGUGCGUCCUCU